rnacentral:lncRNA from 1 species
UCUUAAUCAAAUUCUAAUGUAACCUUCAACAAAUUCUAUUAAAAUCCUAAACCAAUUCUAACCAAAUCUUAAAGUAAAUCCUAAUAAAAUUCUAAUAAAAUCCUAUCUAAAUCCUUAUCAAAUUCUAAUCAAAUCUUAAUCACAUUUUAGAAAAAUUAUAAUCAAAUCUUAGUCAAAUCCUAAAUAAAUUCCAAAUCCUAAUCAAAUCCUAAAUCUUAACCAAGUCCUAAAUCUUAGACCAAUCCUAAUCAAAUCCUAGAAAAAUCCUAAAUCUCAAUCAAAUCUUAAAUCUUAGAUUAAU